rnacentral:rRNA from 1 species
GAUGAACGCUAGCGGCAGGCUUAAUACAUGCAAGUCGAGGGGCAGCACGAAUAGCAAUAUUUGGUGGCGACCGGCGCACGGGUGCGUAACACGUAUACAACCUACCUAUAACAGGGGGAUAGCCUUUCGAAAGAGAGAUUAAUACCCCGUAAUAAAUUGAGUGGCAUCACUUGAUUUUGAAAGCUACGGCGGUUAUAGAUGGGUAUGCGUCUGAUUAGCUAGUUGGUGAGGUAACGGCUCACCAAGGCGACGAUCAGUAGGGGAUCUGAGAGGACUAACCCCCACACUGGUACUGAGACACGGACCAGACUCCUACGGGAGGCAGCAGUAAGGAAUAUUGGUCAAUGGAGGCAACUCUGAACCAGCCAUGCCGCGUGCAGGAUGACGGCCCUAUGGGUUGUAAACUGCUUUUGUUACCAGAGAAAACCUAACUCACGUGUGAGUAGCUGAUAGUAUGGUAAGAAUAAGCAUCGGCUAAC